UACGGCAUGACCGACGACGAUAGCCUCGCCCACUUCGACAUCGGGUUCAAGUUCCACGGCCUCACCGACGACGUCCACGGUGUUCUCGGCCAGACCUACCGCACCGAUUACGUCAACAAGCUCAGUGUGAGCACCAACAUGCCAAUUAUGGGCGGCACUUCUACCUACGUGACCUCCGAUAUCUUCUCCACCGACUGCAAGGUCGCCCGGUUUGGUCGCUCUUCAGGAAUCUCCAUGGUCACUGGCAUGGCCACUUAAGCACCAUGCCUCGAUGGCUAAGCUCGAAGCUAGUGUCUUAACUUGACAUUCUAGAGUUAGCCAAGGAAUAAGCAACACCUAUCUGGGACAGGUUGUGGUAACACCAUGAUACGCACGAUCAUGUCAUCUUAAUUCUUCACACGUAAGCAUGGUUUGUUCAAUUGAUUAUCAUAUGGAAUAAAAGAGAUUUCAGAAGACAAAAGACUAUGUUGCAUUUGAAACACUUGCCACGUUGAAUCUUUUACAAUUUGACAUGCUCUAAGGCAUGGCCCGAAACACAGUUAAGAAAGAGAUGCAACCCGUUGAACAAUUCACGUAGGAGGAAAAGGUAUUCACGAAAAAAUUGCCAGUAUGUGAUAGAAUAACAAAUUAUUAACGGAGGAAUAUAUUCUUUUGGCGGAGUAAGAGGAAUAUUUGUUUUGACAGUGAUUGCUAUAGAGAAAAAAGGUUACGUUGUGCAAUUGUGAGAUCCACAUCCCUUAAAGGUUUGGGUAGUGAUAUUGGAUAUGCUCGCACAUGAUGAUGGCAAUGCCGCAUGAGGAAUUUGCCCUUCUCUGAUGGUGUAGUUGUGAGGUUGCAUGAAUUCAACUUGCAAACUCAUAAGUUAACAUGGGCGUCGAGAUUCCACCCUUUUCUUGACCCAUCACAGUGGCCAGAGUAUCACAGCCCUAAUAUUAGGCCAGAUCCAGAGAUGAUGGUAGAACCGAAGGAUAGAAGGAGAGCAAAGGAUUCGGGAAUGAUAUGGAUGACCUCAUGAGCAGUAGAGAGUUUGGUAGUGGACAUUUCAUGGAGCCACGUGAUAGGACCCAAUGCGGUGAUUGCAAUGGAACGUCACACAAUAAGAGAACAUGCAAAACAAAGAAAACUUCAAAAGGUCACAAUGCAUCUACUAGUGAUGUGGGUGGCAGAGGUGGUUCAAGUGCUGGUGGUGAAGGCAGUUCAUGUGGUGGCCUUGCUGUGGGCCGAGGAUUCGGCGGUGGUAGAUGUGGUGGUUCAACUGGUAGCCUUGCUGUGGGCCGAGUAUUCGGCGGUGGUAGACGUGGUGGUUCAAGUGGUGGCCUUGCUGUGGACCGAGAAUCUGGCGGUGGUAGACGUGGUCGUUCAAGUGCUCGUGGUAGUGCUGGUCGUAGAGGAGGUUUUUUGGGUAGAGGUUUGGCUGGUGGUAGAGGAAUGUCCGGAUACCUACAAGGACUAUUUUCGUAAGUUUGAUAUAUUUCAUUAUUAUUGUCAUGUUGUACAUUUUCUUUACUAACUAAUGUCUUGUAUUUUUUUGUAGGUAUGGCGUCUUCUCAACCCAACAAAAGAAACAAUGAAGGGGGUGGAGGACACGGAGGGGGGAGGUGAGAUGUCGGGGUGGUGGGACAAGGCUGUCAAGAAGGUCAGAGAGGAGGUGGCAGCCGCUCUAGCGAAGAAGAAGCAAGAGGAAUACAAAGCAAAGCAAAAGGAGGAAUGGUUAAUGUUUCAACGUGGCCGUGAUAUGGAGAAGGCGCUGCAUAAAAAGAUAAAGAUGGCUGAAGAGAAACGGAUGAAGGAUUUUCGAGAGAACACUGCGAAACUUUGGGCUGAACAUGCGGCAAAGAAAGAGAGGGAGCACAAGCGCUUCAUAGAGAAGGUGGUUCACGAGGCAAGUCUCAUAAGGAAAAGGGAGGAGGAAGAAGAAGAAGAAGAGAGGAAGAAGAAGAAGGGAAAGGGACUUGGCCCUUGCUCUACACAAUAGAGCUAUGUCGUUGUCAUCAUGUGCACUCUAAAUCAUCAUGUGCACUCUAAAUCGUUAUGGGAACUUUGAACUUUAAUUUAGUAUUUCAUAUCUAUGUGCACUCUAAAUCGCUAUGGGAACUCUAUUGUGUGUACUCUUAGUCGCUAUGUGAUGUUUGAACUUUAAUUGCUAAGAAUCUAUGUGAUGUUUGUACUUUAUAUGGGCUAUGUGAUGUGUGUACUCUUUGUAGAUUAGCAAUACUUUUUAUGUAAUGUGUAUACUAUAUGAACCUUAUAUCCCAUAUUACAUUUAUCAAGGAAAAUGUAUAGUUGCAAAAGCCUCUAUGUGAAACGCCAGCCUUGUUUGAAUAUAAUUACAAACAAUGGCUUUUCCACGGCCGGUUAUAUGGUUAGAUUCAUGUCAUCAUGUAAGAACAUGUCAUCUUUUGUAAAGCAUUCAACUUGAUGAUCACGACUAAUUAAAUUUCCACAAUAUCUUCAGGUUACAAACAUAAUUUGUCAUCAUGAUAUGAUAUUAAGAUAAAUCAGUAAAAUGAAAAAUCUAACAAAAGGAAAGGACAAUAACCAUAAUAAGUUUUUUUACUAUGAAAAUAAUUACCUUGGUUAUCAUUUGUGUUGGCCUUCUGCACAUCAUUUUUCUUAUAGAAGUUGGUGAAUUUUUGGCCGGUCCAAAAACAUGAGAUAUGUCCAUGGGCGUAGGUGCAGGGAGUGAUUUGAUGUGUGUGUUUGUUGUAUGGAGCGUGUUUUAUCUUUGACAUUGAUUUGGUAUGGAAUUCUCAAUUAUUUGGGUACGCACAGGAGACGGCAUACCGUUUAUCAUUUAUGUUCAUUUGGUAAAUGUGUUCAAUUGUUUUGGUGAAUGUUAGGAGGACGUGCCAUUUAUCAUUUAUGUUCAUUUGAUAAGUUUGCUCGAUUGUUUGGAACGCUUAAUUAUUUGAUAAGUGUGGAUAAGACGUACUCCCUCAGUAAUGAAAUAUUAGAACAUUAUAUCACUAUAAACGCUCUUAUAUUUCUUUAUAAAGGAAGUGCCAUUUAGCAUUUAUGUUCACUAGUUAAAUUCAUUUUCUUUUGGUAAGUGCGAGACAGCGCAUGAUGUACCCAAUCAUUGAUAAAGUAAGAGCAUCUCUAGCAAAUCGAGUAAAAUGCUCGAAACUGCAAAAUAACAGCAGUGUUACAAUUUUGGAUGAAAAUACACGUGAAUUACAGAUAACACAAAACGGCGUCUUCCCAAAAAACUUAUGCAACUCCCGCUAAAAAAUGCCUAUGUGCCCUACAUACACAGUUUUGGACGCAUGUUUACAAUGACCUGGAAACCAGAAAAACGGUUGGCGGGAGGGAACUUUUAGCUUCUGGGCCUUCAAUCCUCCCCACCGCCGACAUUAGGAGGUCGAUUCGGACCAUCCCUGCCGCCGCCAACAAGAUAAGCGAACCGGGAUGACCUCGUCGGUCUGCUUCUUCUCGCACGCUCAAUCCUCGGCACCGGGAGAAAGAGGCGGGGCGGUGUCGGGUUCCUUGAGGCCACUGACGCUGGAGGCGAGGCUGCUGCCCCGCUUGUCGACGUAGCCGCUGCUACUGGGGAUGGGAGGGCCGGCAUCAUCGUAGUAAUCCUCUUCUUCCAUGAGCCCUUUGAACUUCCCCUUCCUUUAGGAUGCGGCCAUGCUGCUCCUGGCCUUGGAUACGACUGUCACAUACCCCUCGCCCUAGUCCUCCUCGGCGAACUCAUGGCCGGCGGCACGGAGCGAGAGCAUGGCUAGGGCCUUGCUGGCAGGGAUCUCGACAAACGAUCAAUGGCAGUGGAGGGGAAUGGGACUAGUGGGGGAGAGGGAGGAGGCAGACCUAAUUGCAAUUUGUUUUUUGUUUCGAGGGUGCUUUGCGCUAUUCUUUAGGGACCCUGUUGUAAAUUUAACUAUUGAUGAGCGGGCUCCAAGUUUUGGCUGAAUCGUUUUUUAUGAGAUUUGUUCUGCCAAAGCACACAUCAUACAUUCAUAUCCAGUUUAUAGUGCGAGAUCAGAAGUGCGAGAUCAAACCCGUAGAUUAGUCGACGUUAGUGUGGGCUCUUUGGCGUGCCAGUGACCCAGAAGCUCGGGUUAGACGGCAAAACACGUUUAGAUCACACGGUCCAUCCGUGCAGGAGAGGCAACUCUUGAAGUGUUACUACUUAUGUCUGAUCAAGAUCUAUGUAUGUUGGGUUGCCAGAACGGAAGAGAGUUGAUUGCUAUUACCAUGGUAUCUAUGGUGGAAUAGAAGGAAGCUUGUUCUUGAGGGGAAUUCGGAAGAGGCGUCUCGAACCUCGACGGGGAUACGGUCUAUAGUGGCAAAUUACAUAAACGCCCAAUUACCAAAGGCGAAGGAGAAGAGGGGAGGAUGGAGUAGACCUCCAAAGGGGUUUGUUAAAUUAAAUGUCGUUGCUUCUUUUGAUCACGAUCAACUAAGAGGCACAACAGGUGUUGUUAUGAGGGAUGACAAACGAAACUUCAUUGUAGGAUGCCCUAGCCGCGGAAGCGUCAGCACCUAGGUUUGGCCUUUUGUUGGCACAAAAAGAAAGAUGCAAUCGGCUUACUAUCAAUUCUGACAAUAUGGAAGUAACUGAAACAAUAAACAAAGGAGGAUACUCUGCAGGAGAGGCAGCUGCAAUUUUCGAUGGUUGUUUGUUUAUAGCUUGUGGUUUUUCUUUUACUACGUUUGAGUAUUGUAAUAGAGAAGCGAACAAGUUAGGUCAUGAACUCGCGAGAAUAGCAAAAAUUUAUGGUGCGAUGGACUGGAUUGAGCCUCUCUAAAAUAUUGUAUCUAUUCUUAUAGACAAUUUAACAAUUAUUUCAAAUUAAUAAAGUUGAUGAUGUUUUUCAAAAAUAGAUCACACGGUCCAAAUGUAUGGAGCGGUCCAAAUGUAUGGGGCCAUUUGAGAAGAUGCCAUUAGUCGUGUACUCAUGUGCCGUCGCACGCACAAAAAGCUAGCUGCAGGCCGUGCACGCACGCAGCACGCGUUUGAAGCGAUGCCCAGCCGCUUUACGUACGUAGUGUGCAUGUCAGGUCAGGUCAGGAUAGGUCGCUCCGUCCCAACGCAGGGAAUCACGCAGCCGAGCAUUUCUCGGUACGUACGCAGGAUAUCAUUCUGUUGUCCCAUGCAGAUGCUUCGUUCACCAGUCACCACGGCGUACGCACGCCGGCCGCCUCCUACGCCUGCGCAGCCGGCCAUGGCAUGCACCACGUCAACGACUCUUCCCUCUCUUCGUGCACCCUUUGCCCGCCCCGCUCCCGCCCUAUAAAUUUCCACGCCACACACCGAUCACUUCCACCCAGAGCUAGCUAGCCACACCCACACUUGAUCCUCAGCACUGCUAGGUGAAGCAACCUAGCUAGCAAUGGCGAGGGCAUCGUCGUUGUUGUCCAUGGGAAGUGUGGUCGCCGCGGUGGUCGUGCUGGUGGUCCUGUGCGCCGCCGUGCCGGCCGCCGGUCAGGGCAAGAAGGGGCCUCCGGCUCCAAAGCUGCCGUCCAACUUCAAGACGAUCCACCCGGGGCGGUUCGGGAAGAGGAACCAGGUGCUCUCCUGCGACGACACCAAGGACGGGAACAGCCCCUGCGUCGCCACCUGCGACAAGCGCUGCCCCAACGAGUGCAUCGUCAUGUGCCCAGGCUGCAAGACCUACUGCAGUAAGCACACCUACUCCAAUAUCCUUGUUGUUAAAUCCCGUAGCUAUAUGAUCUGCCGACCCACAUCAACUUAGAAUGAGAUGCCUAAAGAAAUUGCAUUGUUUUUUUCAAGUGUGCGACUUCUACCCCGGCGUGUCCUGCGGUGACCCCCGCUUCACCGGCGCCGACGGCAACAACUUCUACUUCCACGGCAAGAAGGACCAGAGCUUCUGCGUCGUCUCCGACACCGACCUCCACAUCAACGCCCACUUCAUCGGCAAGCGUAACCCUACCAUGAGCCGAGACUUCACCUGGAUCCAGGCCCUCGGCAUCCGCUUCGCCGACCACCGCCUUUACAUGGGCGCCCAGAAGACCGUCGGGUGGGACAGCGACGUCGACCGCCUUGAGCUGGCCUUUGACGGCAUGCCCAUCGACAUCCCCACCGAGGUCGACGCCGAGUGGCAGUCCAGCAUUGUGCCCGCCUUGAUCGUCACGAGGACCUCCGCGACCAAUGGCGUCAGGGUCCAGCUCGAGGGAGUGUUUGACAUCUUGGCCAAUGUGGUGCCCAUCACGGAGAAGGACUCCCGCAUCCACAACUACGGCGUGACGGAGGAUGAUAGCCUUGCGCACUUCGACAUGGGGUUCAAGUUCCACGGCCUCACCGACGACGUCCACGGCGUGCUCGGCCAAACCUACCGCACGGACUACGUCAACAAGCUCAGCGUGAGUGCCAACAUGCCCAUCAUGGGAGGCGCCGCCAGCUACGUUUCCUCCGACAUCUUCUCCACCGACUGCAAGGUCGCCAGGUUCGGCCGUGCCCACGGCGGAAUCUCCAUGGUCACCACCAGGGCCAACUAAACACCCGGAUCGACGACUAUCUCUCAAGACAUUUAAGACUUAACCCAGGAAUAAACAAUACAGAUUUAUAAGAUACUGAUGAUAUGCCACCAAAGACACACAUGAUCAUGUCCUUUGGAUACUGCAAAUGGCGAAAUGAAAUAAGUUUAUAACCGAAGAAUAUGUCCUGGUUGAAGUCUUUUAUAUGUGGAAUCUUUUUGUUACCCUAUGUAUAAUAUAUAAUAUGCAGCU
rnacentral:lncRNA from 1 species